GAGAUGUGGGUAGUCCGUACGAGCGCACCUUGUCCUUAUUUGCCAUCAUUUAGUUGGGUACUCUAGGGAGACUGCCGGUGACAAACCGGAGGAAGGUGGGGACGACGUCAAGUCAUCAUGGCCCUUACGACCAGGGCUACACACGUGCUACAAUGGGGCGUACAAAGGGUUGCAACCCCGCGAGGGUGAGCUAAUCCCAUAAAACGUUUCGUAGUCCGGAUCGCAGUCUGCAACUCGACUGCGUGAAGUCGGAAUCGCUAGUAAUCGUGAAUCAGAAUGUCACGGUGAAUACGUUCCCGGGCCUUGUACACACCGCCCGUCACACCAUGGGAGUGGGUUGCAAAAGAAGUGGGUAGCAUAACCUUUUGGAGUGCGCUCACCACUUUGUGAUUCAUGACUGGGGUGAAGUCGUAACAAGGUAGCCGUAGGGGAACCUGCGGCUGGAUCACCUCCUU
rnacentral:rRNA from 1 species